CACGAUAAGCAAAUCUACAGGAAAAAAGUCAACUUAGCAUAUAGAUUUUAUCCAUUGCCUUGGCCAUGUUCAAGAAGCACUAAAUUUGGAACAUUUCUACUAUAAAUACAUGAGGCAUCGGGACAAAAAACAAAAGAUGAGCAAUAUCAUAUGAGAAGAAUAAAAAGGAGUUUGGACCAUAGAAUGGUUAACAAUAAAACUAGAAGCAACAUGCACGCUUUGCCGCACCGAGUCAUGAGUCCAGCAUAAAUUUUGCACGUUGCCCCAAGAUGUAUUGCAAAGAGCCUCCAUAUAAGAAAUUACAAUUUGGCUAAUUUGGAUAUAUUGAAACAAUGCAUACAUCCCCUUCUUGGUACAGUAAAACAUUGUUUCAUCUCAGGCGACAACCAUUUAGUUUAGAUUAAAGGAUAACUUUCAGAAAAAUAAUUAACCCUUAAAACCUGUUAACAAAAAAAUACAUUGUCACUAUAGAGUAACUUGGAAAAUUUCAAAAUUUCAAACAUGUUAUCUAGAAUGGCAUUACUUAUUUUGGGCAUAGCUAAACGUACAAGCUUAAUACUACUGAAAUUCUAAAAUCUAUUUGUAUGUGUUCGAUCAGAAGCAAUGUUUGGUUUUGUUCAUAGGUUGUCCCCUGUUUUGUCAUUCCACCUAACUGAAAGAGAUUGUAAUUGGGUCAACAAAUGGCAUACAUUUUUUUAGGUAGACAAACCUAUUUUGUUGAAAAUCUUAACUUUGUAGUUCAGUAGCUAUUGUGUAGGUGUAUUUCAAUCUUAUGGCUUUUUUUGCCUGAGAUUCCUAUAUACUGCUUAAUUUCUUCUUAAUUCCCCGUGUUUACUACCACUAUACCACUAUAUUUGAUAUGUUUUUAUUUAGUUCCAUUUAAUAUUGAUUCAGCUAUAUUAUGGGUGGCUUUGGCAUUUUUCCCUUACAAUCGUGUGUCUGACGAAUUAUGGGGUGUGCCUCUUUCACACUAAUGUCCGUUGCAAACUAGUUGCAAACUAAUCAUGAAAUUCAAUUACUUCAAGUCUUUACUGACAACAUGAUUUACCUCCAAUUCGUUGCUCCUUUUGUUUCAUCACAAAGCAAUGAAGUUUAGUAGCAUAACUUCUAGUAGUAUUAAGAAAAUCCAUAUCAAAGGGACUUAAGAUACUUCUAUGUUUCAUUUUGAUGACACUCUCAUGUGUCAGACUAGUUAUACUUAGUCAAUGUCGUAAAUAGUUGCUAGACACAUACUAGUUCAAUACGGCGACUCCCACCAAUGAAGUUGGCACAGUUUGAUAAAAGACAUGGUUAGUGUGCAUUUUUAACAAUAGUUACAGAAUUUGGCUUUUUGUCUUGUUUCUCACUAUACUUUUGAUUCACCUGCAGCUAGCAUGUUAUGGGUUCAUGUGAUUGUGAUGAAUUUGGUAUAUCCAAAGUCCCACUGCGAUAUCUUUGAUUUUUACAUUAUAUUAUUUCUAGUUCGGGGCAGUGAAGCCUAUUAGUCCUGAAGUGUUAUAUGUGCUUCUGUGAUGGUGGCCACUACCUAUUUGUUGGUAUACUUUCAAGAAUUGAAAAUAUUCUUUUUUUUCAGUAUCUGUUCAAGUGGAUGACGGUUAAUGUACGAGGGAUAGAGAGUCAUGUCUUCAUAUUUAUGGUCGUUAAGAGUAAUGUGCAAUUGAAACUGAAACCUUCAUUUACUAAUAACCAGUAGCAAAGUUCAGGUUUUGUGAGAAGAAAAGUGAACCAAAGGCUAUAGUACUAUUAAUAGGAUAAUGUGUUGCUUCCAGCCCAUGGAUAAGAAUGUUUCAGUCGCUACAGAGAUAGCCGAACAGAGGAAGUUGGCGUAAAAUCUAUGGUCACCUACUGCUUGAAGAUCAAGUUCGACAGUAAUCAGUUUACAAAUUCGGUAGCAUUCAAUUUUGUAAUAGUGAUUUCUAAAAAAUAAUAAUCAUGCCGCUGGUUACUUAGUGCUCAGUGGCACUCAGUUACGUCCAAACGAAUUUUAUUUGUAAUCUUAAGAUGAAUUUUAUUAGACCGCUUUGUUAUUCCAUGGUUACCAAAAAUUCCUUGUGUACAAAAUCAACCAGUGACCUAUCUUUCUUACGGUUACUAAAAAUGCCUCCUACAGAAUUGUGAUAGUGGCCUAUGUUACUUAAAUCAAUCACGUACCAUAUUUCAUUUUUAGUAGAGAACCGGUGUACUCAGUCCAAUGUAAACAGCAAUAUAUCUAAGGUAAAAUACCUGAACUAUAGAAAGGCAGACCUAUAUCUGAAAAAAAACAAAAACACCUCACUACUGUAAGAUUACCUGAUUAGCCGUAAAAUUACAGAAAGAGGCGCUCUGUGGGUUGCUCGCCUACAGGAACAGGAAGUAAAUUUUUUUUUUUGAAAUACCUACAGGAAGUAAUUGACUCACAUGCAAACUGUAAGAGUACCUUACACUCUUUUCUUUACAGUUGUUUUAGUGCGGAGACCCGUUUCUCAUUCAAAGCUACAAUAUUACCUCACAAAAGUUCUGCUUCAUACUGUCUGUGGUUUUGGACGUGGGAGCAGAAGUUGGCUGGGGUGACAAAUAGCGCGACCCAGCAAGACAUUUGAACACUGGCAAAUUUGCAACUAAUGGGAGCUGGGGCUUUUCUUGGAAACUAAAAUUUUACACUAACCUACACAUAACUAUGCUGAUGUUACAUCCUGACUACAGUAUGUCUGCGGUGCCUAAGAAACUAAAACAUCAAAUGACACUCUUCCAAGUUUUGUAAGAUUCUACUGUUUUCACUGUACAAUCAAAAAGCAAGCUGGAACUUACAUGUUGCCCUUUGAUCCAGAUGCAACUUGUUCCAAAACUUUAGCACCUUCAGGUCAAUUUCCUAAAUAUCUGGCCCAAUUGGUCAAGCACCAAGCAAAGGCGUUCGCUGCUCCGGCAGAGACGGAAGGGACCACAUCGGCGAGGCGGUGAUCCUGAGACCCACGCCACCCUCCUGUGUGACCCACCGCCGUCGAGAUCUCCAUGACCCC
rnacentral:lncRNA from 1 species